rnacentral:snoRNA from 1 species
GGGGGGCAUCCAAAAGCUGAGAUGUUUCCCGAUACAAUCUUCCUACAGAAAACUCUGUAGUUUCCUGCAUGUGGUACUUGAGAAAGUUCCGCAAGUCUCAGAUAUCCAGAAAUAUUA